rnacentral:rRNA from 1 species
UCUACGGGGGGCAGCAGUGAGGAAUAUUGGUCAAUGGGCGCGAGCCUGAACCAGCCAAGUCGCGUGAAGGAUGACUGCCCUACGGGUUGUAAACUUCUUUUAUAAAGGGAUAAAGUGGGGCACGUGUGCCUUUUUGUAUGUACUUUAUGAAUAAGGAUCGGCUAACUCCGUGCCAGCAGCCGCGGUAAUACGGAGGAUCCGAGCGGUAUCCGGAUUUAUUGGUUUUAAAGGGAGCGUAGGGGGGUUGUUAAGUCAGUGGUAAAAGUUUGGGGCUCACCGGUAAAAUGGCAUUGAAUACGGCGGCAUUGAGUACAGUUGAGGUAGGCGGAAUUCGUGGUGUAGCGGUGAAAUGCUUAGAUAUCACGAAGAACUCCGAUUGCGAAGGCAGCUUAC